UGCAUCCUUAUUCCCUGACACAAUUUCACAUCAUUACACUCCGUCAGUGAGCCAAAUUUCUUAGUAAGAUCUUUUUUUCUUUUUUAAGGAAGAAUAGUUUCCCAACAUAUCCCAACAGCAGAAUGCUUUGACAUACACUUUGAUGACCUUUCUCAGGCUAUUAAGAAUAUUCUGUUCUGUAGUUUCCUCCAUAACCAUCUCUGCUUUGUUGUGUGUGAUCUAUAGGAAAUAAGACAGAAAUAGAUGGCAUGAAUGUCAUAAAUUACCGGGAUUGGAUCUGAAUCCUUUUUUCUGUCUUCUUUAGAGACAAGACCUGUAUCCUGGGAUGAUGCUUUUGUGAAUAUUUCCAAAAAUGUGAUUCAGACCAGAUACACCCUGUUGCCCUAUCUCUACACUUUGAUGUACAAGGCCAACACAGAGGGCAUCACUGUUGUGCGGCCACUACUCACGAGUUUGUGUCAGACAGACAGACCUGGGAUAUAGAUGGUCAGUUCCUGCUGGGUCCAGCUUUCUUGGUCAGCCCUGUCCUGGAGUGUAAUGCCACAAAUGUCACUGCAUAUUUCCCUAGUGCACGGUGGUACGACUACUACACGGGUGUGGAUAUUAAGGCCAGGGGACAGUGGAAGGUGUUGCCAGCGCCUCUUGAGCACAUUAACCUUCAUGUCCGUGGGGGUACAUC